AACCGGCGAAACCCUGGGCCGCCAAAACAGAGUGUGUGAACUUAACCACUUGGCCACGGGGCCGGCCCCUGAUUCGUUUAGAUCUUAAGAGCUAACUAUUUAUUAUAAACAUUGCUGAAUUAGAAAUUCUAUCUUAAGUGUCCUGUCCUCAAUUUUUCCAGAGCUGGUAAGCUAAAGUUGGCUCUUUUGAUAAUUGACCCUCAAGUAUAAUAUCCUUAAACUCUCAGGCAUGUAUUCAUUUUGAAUAUUCGUGAAUAUUUUGCCCGUGAAGGGAGAUGUAGAUAAAUUUGUUCUCAAAUGUAUUCUUUUAAUGAAUAACAAGGACUGUUUAUAUUUUGGAAGUCCAUUUGUGGUUUUUUUUUGUUUGGUUUUACCUUAUUUUUGAUAGGUUAUUUUGCAAAGAAAAGCAUCUAGAAUGUGUGAUGGUUUUAAAAUGUCCGCAUGUUCUUUGAUAUUCUUCUCUUUAAGAAGUGAAGCUUACUUCCCCUCUCCUUGAGCGUGGGCUGGACUUAAUGACUUGCAUUUAAUGAAUAGCAUGUGGCAAAAGUGAUGGCGUGCAUCUUCCUAGACUAGCUCAUAAGAGACAUUGUGGCUUCCUCCUCGCUUCUUUGUGUUGGAUCACUCACUCUGGGAGGACGCCAAUGACAGGUCACGAGGAUACUCAAGCAGUCCUGUGGAGAGGCCCACCUAGUGAGGAUCUCCUGCCAACAGCCUCGUGAGCAAGCCAUCUUGGAAGACGAUCCUCCAGUCCCAGUCAUGUCUUCAGAUGACUCCAGCCCUUUGCUGACAUCUUAAGUCAAACCUCAUAAGACAUCCCGAGCCAGAACCAUCUAGCUAAGCCACUCCCCAAAUCAGACCCAUAGAUAUUACGGGCUAAAAGUGUUUGUUUUAAGCUGCUAAGUUUAGGGGUAAUUUGCUUCUCAGCAAUAGGUAACUAAACCAAGAGUGUACUUUGACCAUCAGGGUCUAAAUAAAAACCUGAAGUUCCAAGGUUAUUUUUCACUUUUCAUAUUGCAAAUAAGUGUAACCCAGAUAUCAGUGGCAGCAACUUCUUUCAGACAUCUAGAUCUAAUUGACUCCCCUCAGAGCCCAGUCAGUUCCAGAGCUGUGAAUUCGGAACUCCACUCUGUGGCAUCAUCCUGGACACAAAGUACUGACCCUCGCCUUCCAGACCUCUGCUUUCACCUGACCAGGGAUUAUCAAGGCACUCUGUCCAAAUAAAUGCAGCGUUCUCUUUAGUAGGAAUUGAGCCUGAGAGCAACUUGAGAAGCUGGAACUUUCUCCUUUAUCUUGUGCUGCCCACAGUGCCCAGCACUGACUUAUAAACAUGCUGUUCAGUAAGUGCUGGGGGAGAGGGAGGAAGGAAUGAAGAGAUGAGGAAAAGGAACUGGAGAGAAAGGCAGAAGAAAGAAGGGGCCAGAUGAGCAAAAAGAAGGAUGACGAGAAGAAGGAAAGAAGGAAGAAGAGGACAGAAACUGGUUACUCUCUCAAAUAAGAAUCAGAAAUUUAUAUUCUGUAAAGUUUGCUCACAUCUACUGUUUGUGUUUUGUUUUGUUUCGCUUUGUUUACUUAGCAUCAGUUCUUUGGUUCACCUGUACUAAGACCAAGAAAGCUUUGUGUAGUUGAGAGUAGAGUUAUUGGUGAGGGCACCAGCAGCUACACCAGCUCCAGAGAGAUUGGGGCUGGAGCUGUGAGAUAGGGGAGCCGGACAGCCAUCCCAUUAAACGUAUCCCUGCACCUAAUCCCUUCCUGUAAUUCACACUGGACAAUCUCUUUACAGCCUGCUAACACCUGGGGCACAACCAAAUCUUCUCCAUUUCUCUCUGUAAUCCCUCCAAAGGUAUUUUCUGAGUUUUAGUCUUUUGUGCUUUAUCCACUGGUUUCUGAGAUCCUGAAUACCUUCCUUUCAACUGCAUUUCAUAGAUAGCUGAAAAGCCUUUUGCUGCCAUACUCCCUACUUUGUACACAUCCUUAAGUCUUUUGUCCUGGCUUCCUUACCUGUCCCAUAAAAUUUAAAUUGAGUCGAUUAGUUUCGAUCAUAGGGCCAAAGAGGCUAAGGUCAAAGAUUAAAUAC